GUAGGUGGCAAGCGUUGUCCGGAAUUAUUGGGCGUAAAGCGCGCGCAGGCGGUCCUUUAAGUCUGAUGUGAAAGCCCACGGCUCAACCGUGGAGGGUCAUUGGAAACUGGGGGGCUUGAGUACAGAAGAGGAAAGCGGAAUUCCAAGUGUAGCGGUGAAAUGCGUAGAGAUUGGAGGAACACCAGUGGCGAAGGCGGCUUUCUGGUCUGUAACUGACGCUGAGGCGCGAAAGCGCGGGGAGCAAACAGGGAUUAGAUACCCUGGUAGUCCACGCCGUAAACGAUGAGUGCUAAGUGUUAGGGGGUUUCCCGCCCCUUAGUGCUGCAGCUAACGCAUUAAGCACUCCGCCUGGGGAUACGGCCGCAAGGCUA
rnacentral:rRNA from 1 species